rnacentral:tRNA from 1 species
UGGCUGAGUGGUAAAGCACUUGGCUUUUGAACCAGGAGUCUCAGGCUUGAAUCCUGG